rnacentral:rRNA from 1 species
UGGGGAAUUUUGGACAAUGGGUGCAAGCCUGAUCCAGCAAUGCCGCGUGCAGGAUGAAGGCCUUCGGGUUGUAAACUGCUUUUGUACGGAGCGAAAGGGUCUUCCCUAAUACGGUGGGCUCAUGACGGUACCGUAAGAAUAAGCACCGGCUAACUACGUGCCAGCAGCCGCGGUUAUACGUAGGGUGCGAUCGUUAAUCGGAAUUACUGUGCGUAAAGCGUGCGCAGGCGGUUAUAUAAGACAGAUGUGAAAUCCCCGGGCUCAACCUGGGACCUGCAUUUGUGACUGUAUAGCUAGAGUACGGUAGAGGGGGAUGGAAUUCCGCGUGUAGCAGUGAAAUGCGUAGAUAUGCGAAGGAACACCGAGGGCGAAGGAAAUCCCCUGGACCUGUACUGACGCGCGUGCACGAGAGAGUGGGGAGCAAAC